rnacentral:rRNA from 1 species
AGUGAACGCUGGCGGUAGGCCUAACACAUGCAAGUCGAACGGCAGCACAGUAAGAGCUUGCUCUUACGGGUGGCGAGUGGCGGACGGGUGAGGAAUACAUCGGAAUCUACUUUUUCGUGGGGGAUAACGUAGGGAAACUUACGCUAAUACCGCAUACGACCUACGGGUGAAAGCAGGGGAUCUUCGGACCUUGCGCGAUUGAAUGAGCCGAUGUCGGAUUAGCUAGUUGGCGGGGUAAAGGCCCACCAAGGCGACGAUCCGUAGCUGGUCUGAGAGGAUGAUCAGCCACACUGGAACUGAGACACGGUCCAGACUCCUACGGGAGGCAGCAGUGGGGAAUAUUGGAAAAUGGGCGCAAGCCUGAUCCAGCCAUACCGCGUGGGUGAAGAAGGCCUGCGGGUUGUAAAGCCCUUUUGUUGGGAAAGAAAAGCAGCAGGUUAAUACCCCGCUGUUCUGACGGUACCCAAAGAAUAAGCACCGGCUAACUUCGU